AUGAAAGAUACACGCAUUGCUGAUCACGAGAGAACGAACAAAGAUCAAUCUGAGGCAAAUAUCUCAAUAAUCCUUUCUGAUAUUCGAGUAAUAUUAUGUAUAAUAUGUUGCAGACCUAUUUAACUAUAUCGGGUUAUUUUUAGAACGUGAUUGUUGAUGUUGCCGCUGAUGAUUCCUAAUUGCGAACCCCUGUAAAAUCCAGUGCGGGUGUAAAAGCAUAUGAAACCCCCGGAUUUGGUCAGGUUUUUUUGUGUGAUUGGAUCGAACCCUUCAGACACCGAGAUGGCGAGCCUCCCAACCGAACUACUGUGAUUUGAGAGAAACGCAGACGGAGAAUCCAUGGAUUAGUGCUUUCUACUGAUCAGGUGGAAUCCAUUUCAUUGUGUAUAUUCUGAUCGGUAGGAUCUGACUUUUCCUUCAUCGAUUACUUUGCACUAUUGGCUGUUGAAACAGCUUUCAUCUACACCAAGAGACUUUUGCACACACUAACAUAUUUUUCCACUUUGGAUGACAAAGGAACAUUCAUUUAUACACAGACUGAGAAGGUAUUGACUGUUAUAUUGUUUGAAGAGUUUGAAUUGUUUUCAGAUUGUUUCGAAUUGAACUUUUGUGAUGUUGUACAUUUCUUUUUCUCAUUUUAAUUUUCAAUUUGGGUUAAUCUUUUCUAUGAGUGAAAUAUAAAAGCGUUGAACAAAAAACUAAAACCCAAAGAUAAGAAAAGCUCUUAUUAAACUAAAAGUUAGUGAAACUGAAUAUCUAUAAACCGAAAUAGAAACUAAACAACUGAAACAUAAAUCGAAUAACUAGAAGCAAAUAGGAGAAAAGCUAUUUAAAUAGUGAACAGAGCUCAAAGAUAUCAAAAAGAACAACAGGGGAUUGAAAAGAACAAUUAUUUCAUUUGGUUUUAUUUAUUUUUAUUUAAUUGUGUUACAUUUGCUUCCAUUAUUAUUUUUGCACAAACAAAAUACAUUGAGUCAAUUCCAGGUAUUGUCUGUGUCCUUGUGUGCCUUGAUCACUUACCCUCCUGUAACGAACCUAAUCACUGGUCCAACAUCAGGUGCUUAGAGCGACCUGUCCCUGUUACAGAAACUAUUGUUACACAUAACCUUUUUUCCUUCAUUUAACAUUGUAAAGUUUGUCUUGUACAACCCAUUUUGCAUGCUUGCUAAUAUAGGUCAUGUUUUCCUUGUGCAACAAAAGUAAACUUCAGAUAUGAGAA